rnacentral:piRNA from 1 species
UCAAAUGGUGAGGAAGAAAGAUUGCUCCC